rnacentral:rRNA from 1 species
AAGCACAAAGUAUAGGAGGUCUUACCUGCCCAGUGACUACAAGUUAAACGGCCGCGGUAUUUUGACCGUGCAAAGGUAGCGCAAUCACUUGUCUUUUAAAUGAAGACCCGUAUGAAUGGUGAAACGAGGGCUUAGCUGUCUCCCCUUUUAAGUCAAUGAAAUUGAUCUCUCCGUGCAGAAGCGGACAUAAACAUACAAGACGAGAAGACCCUUUGGAGCUUAAGAUAAAAGACCAACUACGUCAAUAACAAUUAAACCAAGUAGAGAUUGGUCUUUAUCUUCGGUUGGGGCGACCACGGGACAAAACAAAACUCCCACGAGGAUUGGGGAACACCCUAAAACCAAGAGGAGCACCUCUAAGCCACAGAAAUUCUGACCACCAAGAUCCGGCCAACGCCGAUUAACGAACCAAGUUACCCCAGGGAUAACAGCGCAAUCCCCUUUCAGAGCCCAUAUCGACAAGGGGGUUUACGACCUCGAUGUUGGAUCAGGACAUCCUAAUGGUGCA